GAGAGAAAUUUUGGGACAUGCCCGUCUGAGUACCUUCUGUCUUGUUGCAGUCCACGGCUGCGGUUGGAGGGCAGAGUGACGUCCCCUUAAAGGAGGAGGAAUUCCUGGUGACCGAAACAGCAGUGUCUCACAAGGAAGGCAAAUUCCGCUCAGAACUCUCCAAGCUGCUGAUCGUCGCCAAAACUUCCCACGACGAGCUGUGAAUCGCCGAGUUCCCUUGCCUGUUAGAAGGUGCUCUGCUUUGCCGGGGACACUGCAAGCGGAUUUUCUGGCCGACUCUUGCAGGGGUGGGGACCUCUCUCCUGUGCUACGCUGGAGUAGGAAUUGGGGAAGCAUUUGCAAAACUGCGCAGUGCUUUGGCACCACAAACCCUGGAAGCUCCUCUUGAGAUGUUUCUGGUGUUCUGCUUCGGCAGCAGUCUCUCGGAAUACGAAUUGUCACCGGCGGUGCGGGGAAUAAAUGUGGGGCGCCGUUUAUCAUCCUAGCAAUCUUCGUUUCCAGUCUGAUGGUGCAGCACCCAAUCUGGAGAGACCAGCGGCAGCUGUCACAGAGAGACUGCGUCUGAAAACCAUCGCAGAAGUUUUGAUUCCUCUGAUCGCUUUUCAUCCAGAAAGGACCAAAUAAAUACACCGGCGCAUUCCCUCCCCAACUUGUCUUCCCCCUCCGUAAGCCAGCUUAAUAACCACAACAGAAUCCCACCUUCUCUCUUCCUUGGUGAAAAAGGGCAAUAGUUCGAAUAAAUCAGAAUAUAUAUAUCUUA